rnacentral:lncRNA from 1 species
ACUCUGGAGGAUAAAACAAAAUCUCUCUCUAUUUAAAAUGUUAGCAUUUUUUCUGCCUCAGAUUUAUUGCUUUCUGCAUCUACACCACCAACAGAGACCGAUGAUCCCAAAACUACGCCAUUUUUGGAGCUCCCCUGCCCAAGGUUAAACAAAAUUGAAAAUAAAAUAUCGCUAUCCACUCAUGAUCAUUAGAUUAUCUCUAUCAAAGAAAAAAAUUAGACAAAUAAUAACAAAAUAGAGGAAUUUGAUAACCUGAGGCGAGUAAGUGUCGAUGAUAAAGGUGGAGAAUCGUCCUUCUUUAGCCAUUUCAACAGUUUUAAGACCAACUAAUUUCAUCAUCGGAAUCGCCAGAGAAGAAAACACUUCCU